AGCCGGGGUCUGCCUUGACGGUGUACAAGAACCUCUUUAGACUCUUGUACCCCUAAUUUGGCGGGGCUUUUGCUCUGCCAUUUUUCGUUUGUGUCGAAAGACAACAGUGGAGCUAGUAGA
rnacentral:sRNA from 1 species